rnacentral:rRNA from 1 species
UAGGGAAUCUUAGACAAUGGGCGCAAGCCUGAUCUAGCCAUGCCGCGUGAGUGAAGAAGGCCCUAGGGUCGUAAAGCUCUUUCGCUAGGGAUGAUAAUGACAGUACCUAGUAAAGAAACCCCGGCUAACUCCGUGCCAGCAGCCGCGGUAAUACGGAGGGGGUUAGCGUUGUUCGGAAUUACUGGGCGUAAAGCGUACGUAGGCGGAUUGGAAAGUUGGGGGUGAAAUCCCGGGGCUCAACCCCGGAACUGCCUCCAAAACUAUCAGUCUAGAGAUCGAGAGAGGUGAGUGGAAUUCCGAGUGUAGAGGUGAAAUUCGUAGAUAUUCGGAGGAACACCAGUGGCGAAGGCGGCUCACUGGCUCGAUACUGACGCUGAGGUACGAAAGUGUGGGGAGCAAACAGGAUUAGAUACCCCCGUAGUCC